AUUGAACGCUGGCGGCAUGAUUUACACAUGCAAGUCGAACGGUAACAGGCCGCAAGGUGCUGACGAGUGGCGAACGGGUGAGUAAUGCAUCGGAACGUGCCCAGUCGUGGGGGAUAACUACUCGAAAGAGUAGCUAAUACCGCAUACGAUCUAUGGAUGAACGCGGGGGACCGUAAGGCCUCGCGCGAUUGGAGCGGCCGAUGUCAGAUUAGGUAGUUGGUGGGGUAAAGGCUCACCAAGCCAACGAUCUGUAGCUGGUCUGAGAGGACGACCAGCCACACUGGGACUGAGACACGGCCCAGACUCCUACGGGAGGCAGCAGUGGGGAAUUUUGGACAAUGGGCGCAAGCCUGAUCCAGCAAUGCCGCGUGCAGGAAGAAGGCCUUCGGGUUGUAAACUGCUUUUGUACGGAACGAAACGGCUCUGGUUAAUACCCGGGGCUAAUGACGGUACCGGAAGAAUAAGCACCGGCUAACUACGUG
rnacentral:rRNA from 1 species